AGAGUUUGAUCAUGGCUCAGGAUGAACGCUAGCUACAGGCUUAACACAUGCAAGUCGAGGGGAAACGACAUCGAAAGCUUGCUUUUGAUGGGCGUCGACCGGCGCACGGGUGAGUAACGCGUAUCCAACCUGCCCACCACGUUGGGGAUAACCUUGACGAAAGUAAGACUAACUACCCAAUGAUAUCUCUAGAAGACAUCUGAAAGAGAUUAAAGAUUCANCGGUGAUGGAUGGGGAUGCGUCUGAUUAGCUUGUUGGCGGGGUAACGGCCCACCAAGGCAACGAUCAGUAGGGGUUCUGAGAGGAAGGUCCCCCACAUUGGAACUGAGACACGGUCCAAACUCCUACGGGAGGCAGCA
rnacentral:rRNA from 1 species